GACGAACGCUGGCGGCGUGCUUAACACAUGCAAGUCGAACGGAAAGGCCCCUUUGGGGGUACUCGAGUGGCGAACGGGUGAGUAACACGUGAGUAACCUGCCCUUGACUUCGGGAUAACUUCAGGAAACUGGGGCUAAUACCGGAUAGGAAUCCUUGCUGCAUGGUGGGGGUUGGAAAGCUUCGGCGGUUUUGGAUGGACUCGCGGCUUAUCAGCUUGUUGGUGGGGUAGUGGCUUACCAAGGCUUUGACGGGUAGCCGGCCUGAGAGGGCGACCGGCCACAUUGGGACUGAGAUACGGCCCAGACUCCGACGGGAGGCAGCAGUGGGGAAUAUUGCACAAUGGGCGGAAGCCGGAUGCAGCAACGCCGCGGGCGGGAUGACGGCCUUCGGGUUGUAAACCGCUUUCAGCAGGGGCGAAGCUUGUGGUGACGGUACCUGCAGAAGAAGCACCGGCUAACUACGUG
rnacentral:rRNA from 1 species